rnacentral:misc_RNA from 1 species
GUUUGCGGGGCUUCUGAAAAAAUGAAGUCGGCUCCCCCUGAAAAUGCAUUAGUGGUAUCUGAGCAGAGACUACUUACAGGUGUGAUAAAAUUAUCUAUCUAUGCCUCGGUAUGCUGCAUGAAACAGAUUGCACCGCUCAUAACAAGUGGAAAUUUGACAAGUUUGACCUCAAAUCAGGUAGGACUACCCGCUGAACUUAA